CAGAAGGAAAUGCACGCUUAUCCGGCCAGCCCCCAGGUUGGAGCCAACAAACCAGCCAAGCCCAGCCUACCUCUGACCUACAGAACAGUGAGCUCACACAUUUGGGUUCUUCUCAGCCACAACUGUCACGGUCCUUGUGCCUGGUGCCUGCGUAAUGUGCAGAAUAAGCCUGGACUCCACCACGUGGCCCAGAGGAUAAAGCCAGGUCUCUCCCGGAUCAAAGCAAUCCAACUCACUUCUGGAGGAGAACCUCUGCCCCUGCCCUGAGGGAAGUGCCCACCCGCUCCUUCUCUGCCUCCAAGAUGACAAGGAAGCAGAGAACACUGUUUGCUGUGAGAUUCUUCAGCAUAAAAUAAAAAGAAAAUCUGAUUUUUGUUUUAGUUUUGCAUAGCCAGUGAGAUACUUUUUUUCUCCCCCUCAGAUCUGACAUCUAGAGUCAGAGAAAUAAAGACUGUUCUCAGAA